AUAGGGGGGCGGCUUAAGUACCAAGAUGCUAAGGCCUCUAACUGCGUCGAGUCAUGUGGCAUUGCUUUGAUAUCACAAAAAAUUCCCUACAAGGGUUCUGCCCUUGGAGAUUGUUGCAUGGCACUACCUCUUGACUGUGCUUGGUGACUGAUCAACAAGACAACUGUAAGGGGCUGCUACCUCUUCACCUCCCUGCAAUUGUUACAAGAAUUAAUUAUGGUGCAGCUAUAUCAAUUAGAGAUGUAGCAUUAACAAUUCUCUCUAUGUUUAAAUAUAAUAAUAAUAAUAAUCAUAAAUUGCAUUAUCAUGAUAUGAAAUAAUUUUAGCAUAUAUGGCAAAAAAAAUUAUCAUAUUCAUUAAAGACAAAAUAAUUAUUGAUGUGUAAGAAAAAAAAAAAACAAAAAAACCAUUAUAAAUUUGUCUUUGAAACAAAAGCAAUGGUCUUAACAAAAACAAUUGUAACAACACAAGACACACAGCAAUUGUUUCAACAACAAAUCUAUCUUGUUAUGUGUAUGUAAGUAUGUUAAUUACCAAGAAAGGAACAAACUUUCUUAUAAACUCCAAUCACAAUGAUACUCAUGAAUUUGUUGUUAGUUAUGACGAAGUAAUGGACAAAUCAUAUCAAAUCAUUUUAUUUUAUUUUAUUUUAUUUUUUGCAAUUGCAUUGUGGAUAUCCAGAAAUCUAAAGAACCAUCUCUGAUUCUUGAACAUCAGGUCAUCAACCAAUUUUAAUAAUUUAAUUUUUUUCAUUUAUAUCUACAUUCAUUCAACGGACACUGCAUAUAAGUUAUUUGUUAUGUUUAGUUUUUGGUUUAAGCAAAACUGGUGCAAAGUCUUGAAUUUUAAAGAGGUUGUAAAUUUUGAAAUUCAAUGAUAGCAAUGUUAUCAAUAUUGUGUAUUUUUCUCUAUUAUUUAGUUCAAAAAAUAUAUACAUAUUAUUUUGAGGAUGUAAAUAUACAGACACAUGCUCCCCAUACAGUACAUAUUUUGAAAAACCACAAUUAUUUUUAGAUAUGCACUUGUUGAAAAGAUCUUCAGCAGUAAAACUAAAGUUCAAAACUACCACAAUUGAUACAGAAGACAGUCCCCAAGAUACACACAUGUAUAUAUGUGCACAUGAAUAUAUAUAUAUAAUAACGACAGAAUCAAAUUCAAUAUUCAUGUGGAGAAAUUUUUAAAGAAUAUUUAUGGAAGGAGGCAUGAGGUCAACAAUUUUAAAUCGUUUGGUUAGUUGAAAAUGAAAAAGCCUUGCUUAAUUGGCUAUAUUCUUACAAACAUCAUCCCAAAAGUUACAAGAAGAAAACAUGAGACAUUAUACAUUUUUUUCUACAUAGAAAGACCAAUAUUGCUGGUUCAAUUUUAUUGUAUGCUUAUUUCAAAGAGGUGUUUUGUACAAAGAAAUGGGAGUUUGUGUUGGAAAGUCCAAAAAAAAACUCUGAAAGAAAUAAGUAUCAAGAACAGAAAAUAUUCGUGAUAAUUGAUAUAAUCAAGGUAUGAUGUGAUACAAUUAGACUUGUGUUGAUAAUUGUAGUAAUAAUAAUAAAAACAAGUUGAUCCAUUUUAUGGAAUAUUUUUAUUACAUAUUAUCUCCGACGUCUAUUUUUUCUAAAA
rnacentral:lncRNA from 1 species